rnacentral:tRNA from 1 species
GCCAAUGUGGUGUAGUGGUUUGAAUGUUGGACUACAACUCUGGAGACCAGGGUUCAAAUCCCUGCUCUGUCA